CCAUCUUGACGCAGACCAAUCAUUUUGACAACUAUGAUAUUUGUUUUCAGAUAAACAUUGACUUCGACUUGUUGUAUCCAGAAAAAGGGCUGAAUUUUUAUUUAAAUUGGAAAAUAUUUUUCGAAAAAAUUAUUGCUUUUAAACCGAACAGAGACGAAAGAAUCUUGAACCUUAUUGAGUCACUGAAAAAUUUAGACAAUGAUUUAACACUUCCUGCUGAGCUUAAAAUACUCGCACAUCUGGUGCCUCCAAAGGGAAGAAUUUCAAAAAAAAUUAAGUUCACUACUCAGGAAGCAAUUGACUCCUUAUAUAUUUGUGUGCCGAAUGCUGGCGAUAUAGACCAAGUAAUCAAAGAACAAAAACAAAAGGCGACAAGCAAGAAAUUGUCUGUUCAACCCUAUGUUAUACUCCAGGGAUUAGAUAUGUUAUACUCCAGGGAUAGUGUGAUUG